UCUUCUUACUGGGCGCUUCGCUGGGCUGUUUCGCAGCGCUGCAGCGCGCAAGACGGAGCUCUUGUAAUGAUGAAAUUCUAGGGUUUUGAGUGGAGAUAAAGGCGGGGUUUGAUAGUGAGAGCAAAGGAGAUGGACGAGGUUUGAAGAGGUUGUGAAUGGAGGAGAGGUAUGAGGGUGUGGCAGUGGUGGAGAACGAACAGAGGGCCAUUUCUGUAUUGCUUUGCUGCGGCUUUUGCUUCGUUUGAAGUUUCCAGAUUUGAGCUCUCCGUUGCUUUCGCAGCGCGGUCUGUGGGUUUGGGGUUUUAGAUAUUUGUGUGCGCGCUCGUUUUUUUU
rnacentral:lncRNA from 1 species